GGGCAUACGCCCUGGUUAUGUUUGCGGA
rnacentral:piRNA from 1 species